ACUGAGGCAGAGCUCAAAUGUCUCAGCAGCUGCAGUCCAGCUGAUCACGUUUCCUACGUCUGGUUCAAGAACAAACAGGAAAUCAGCAAACAGCUACUUUCUACUGUUACAGUCAACUUUUCUCCUGGAGACAUUGUCUCCUGUGCUUUGAGAGGACAUGAGGAUCACCAGUCUCCUUCAGUGUAUCCUCCAAAGUUUCCUUCUGUAUCAGUGACUCCUUCUGCUGAGAUAGUGGAGUUCAGUUCAGUGACUGUGAACUGUAGCAGUGAUGCUAACCCAGCAGCUAACUACACCUGGUACAAGAACCAAACCCUGGUCAGUGAAGAACCACAGCUUGUCUUCAGCUCCAUCCAGUCCUCUGACUCUGGAGAGUAUCACUGUACAGCUGAGAACGUUCUGGGCACAAGAUCAUCUGAAAACAUUCAUAUCAACGUCAAAUAUCCUCCAAAGCUUCCUUCUGUAUCAGUGACUCCUUCUGCUGAGAUAGUGGAGUUCAGUUCAGUGACUGUGAACUGUAGCAG